rnacentral:pre_miRNA from 1 species
UCAACCGAUUUAACCAUCUAACCCAUCAAAUUAAAUGAGUUCAUGGGUUGACUCAAACUCAUUUCGACUCAACCCAUAAACUCAUUUAACUUCAAAUUCAUUGGGUAAUGAGU